rnacentral:rRNA from 1 species
UCGAGGGGUAACAUUGUGCUGCACACAUUACGACCGGCGCACGGGUGCGUAACGCGUAUAGAACCUACCUUUUACAGAGGAAUAGCCUUUAGAAAUGAAGAUUAAUGCCUCAUAGUAUUGUAGACUGGCAUCAGUUUAUAAUUAAAGAUUUAUCGGUAAAAGAUGGCUAUGCGUCCUAUUAGUGACGAAUU